rnacentral:rRNA from 1 species
AAGGAUCAUUAAAAAGUGUGGGUGCCCCAAUGUCGGGUCCCCAACCUCAAACCUCUCUGAGUACCUAUCCAUGUUGCUUUCCCAGGCCAGCAGCCCCUGCUGCCCGUUCGACCAUGCUCGGUCGCAGGACGGAGGUGCCUGGGGAAGGGCCCGAACAGAUACCCUGGUGAACACGGACUGUCUGAGUGGGUCAUGUGCCCGGCAAAUUGAACAAGUUAAAACUUUCAACAACGGAUCUCUUGGCUCUCGCAUCGAUGAAGAACGCAGCGAAAUGCGAUAAGUAAUGUGAAUUGCAGAAUUCAGUGAAUCAUCGAAUCUUUGAACGCACAUUGCGCCCUUUGGCAUUCCUUAGGGCAUGCCUGUUCGAGCGUCACUAUCAACCAUCUCACGGAUCCCGUGGUAUUGGUGGAAGUGCUCCCCCCCCAUGGCCAUGCUGGCCGGGCCGUAGCUCUACCGAAAUGCAUGAGCAGGACAAGGGGGCCUCAGCGAGUGACUUAGUAACUGUGGUCAAGACGUAGAGCAGUCAGCAAGCUAGGCCAUUGCCCUGCACACCCAGAUAUCCCCCCAUCUGGCGUGAUCUCUCGGUWGACCU